GCUGAUAGGUUCUCUAAAAAUCUAGUUUGUUCCUUACACCAUCUCAUUUUGUUCUCUUUGAGGAUUGUGCCAUCAGAAUCACGAACGAAGGAGGGAGACAAAACAUAAAGGAUCGUCGUCUCUGCCGCUUUGCUUUGAGGAACACAUAAUCGAGGACCAAGUAAUGCAUAUUUGCCAAAUACUAUGAGAUUGACAUCAUUACAACAAUUAGCUCGAUGAACAAAUUAUCAACAAUUUAAUUCAGAUCGUAAUUUGGAUUCAACAAGGUUUAAAGGAACGAAUGACAAUGAAGCAAGAUCAAGUAAUAGGCAUAUUAAUGACCCUGUUCAUGACAGUCACCCUUGCAGGUGAGAUUCUACAUGGUCAUGAUAAUGAUGUUGGAGGAGAGGAGAGGCUCAAGGCCUCUAUUUAUUUCUUUUAUCUUUAGUUUUAUUUUGGGAUUGUAAAGUUCUUAUGGGUUAUGACAUCAGGAAUUAUUUUUUAUUGUUUAAUGUAUGUUUUCUAAAAUUAAAUUAGUAAUUUUAUUUCUUAAGGUCGAUUAUGUUUAAGGACUUGUAAGGUCAAAUGUGAGCCAAUAUAUUUUAUUGACCAUUUGAGUAUU